rnacentral:rRNA from 1 species
GAGGAAUAUUGGUCAAUGGGCGGAAGCCUGAACCAGCCAUGCCGCGUGCAGGAUGACGGCCCUACGGGUUGUAAACUGCUUUUCCCCGGGAAGAAUAAGCCCCUCGUGAGGGGUGAUGCCGGUACCGGGGGAAUAAGGAUCGGCUAACUCCGUGCCAGCAGCCGCGGUAAUACGGAGGAUCCGAGCGUUAUCCGGAUUUACUGGGUUUAAAGGGUGCGUAGGCGGGCGCCUAAGUCAGCGGUGGAAUGCAGCGGCUCAACCGUUGAACUGCCGUUGAAACUGGGCGCCUUGGAUGCGGUCGAGGCCGGCGGAAUGCGUGGUGUAGCGGUGAAAUGCUUAGAUAUCACGCAGAACGCCAAUUGCGAAGGCAGCUGGCCGGGCCGCAAUCGACGCUGAGGCACGAAAGCGUGGGGAUCAAAC